rnacentral:lncRNA from 1 species
UUUAAAUGACUGAUUGUCUAAGCAGUUUCGAGCUAGCUGAUAAGUUGCACUGACAAAAAUGCUUCUUCAUCUAACAGCCAGAGGAAAACAUAACUCAGUCAUGAGGAGUAUUCUGUGCUAGGGAAGGAAUACUCCCCAUAUACAUUUCAAAUGUAUGUCACAAAUAAAGGCUGGCAAAUAUGGAAUCCAGCAGAGAAUAACCUAGAAGAUACCCCUUUAAAUAUAAAACUACAUCAGGAAACAAAUUUAAAAAAUUAACAAAGGAAUUUUGGACUCUUUAAACAAUGGGAAGAGUCUACAAAGCAGGACUACCUGCAGCAAACUUCAGGUAAUGAUGCACUUCAGUCUUGGUACACCAUAAUCAUCCAUGUAUCUCUGGAAACUAACAACACACUGGCAGUCUGGGCCCUAAAUUCUAUCUUUAGGCAUUAUCUGCCUGCAUUUCAAUACAAACUUCAAACUUAAAUAAUGAAAAUAAUGAUCAAAUUCACUAGUCAACCAAUGGGGAAAGAAAAACUAGAAAAGCUGACCUGAAAUUUUUACUGAAAAGUGUCAUUAAAAUAUGUGGCAUUUAGACAAACCAGUUCUCACUGAAGAACAAUCCUAGAAGUAAAACUAAACCCCUGUGUUUUAUUCGGUUUGCUGUGAUACAGCCAUAAAGAAUAUUCUGUAGUUCUCCAUCAGCUAAGUUCCCACUGAAUGCGUUUUUGAUCUGUGCGUAAUCACAGCACUUCGCUGAAGUUGCUGGUAUGAUAAUUAUCUUCCACUUAGCCUAUUUCAGGAAACAAUUUAGAGGGACCCCUUUGUUCAGUGAUGGCUAAAAUUGCAGCAAAUAAGUCACACAAGGACUAAGCCAUGCUGAGGGUGGGGCAAGAGCUGAGCUGUUAGGGUCCCAUGAGUUCUCUCCAAGUGUGGGAAAUAGCGCAGAGGUAUGGGAUUGAUUUGAAUGCAGAACAAUGUGUGGUGUGUGUGUAGGCAUUCAUAUGUACACAGAGCAGUGAAGAGAAGCUCUGCAGAUGUAGACAAACAAGUCAGCAAAAAAAGUAAGAUACAACCAGUGAAACGGUGGUGGGAACAUGGCUAUGAAGAAAAUUAAAGCAGCUUUUGGGCUGUCUGUGCUGAAAAAGGCUUGGAACUAAGAAGAGGGAAACUUGCUCCUAUUACUGGAGUUAAAAUAUACUGAAAGAAAUAUGCUCAGCCUCUCUAAAAGCCCUGGAUUACAUCAUAAAAUACCUAUCUGCAUCUUCAUUUUUUUCUACUACUGGCAAUACCCUGUGACUCCUUCCAAACUGACAAAUUAUUCAUGCCCAGGUAGAGAAACAAUAUUUAAAUAGAAAACAUGGGAAUCUGUACAGGAACUGGAACUAAAAUCUAAAAUCAGAAGAUUAUCUGGAAUGUAUCUGCAACUAGUUUAAUUUCUGGGGUUUGGGUGUAUGCUUUUGAAUUUCAAUUUAUGAAGUUGAAAUAAGGAAUGUGUUCAACUACUUGAUUUAUGAAAGUUGCACGAUUCCAUGUCUGUACUUAAUGUCUACAUAAAUCUGUUGAAUAAAAUCUUAGGUUGGAAUUCAGUUUUGAUGCAAAUGGACUUCCUUAGUGCCUUCUCUAGCAGCCAAACUGCUACCUCCAGAAUGCAGCCUGAUGUCUGUCUCACCCGCUCUUUCCUCAUCUCAUCUAUAAGGAAGCAAACUGAAUGCAUAUACUGACAGUGUUAGUGAGAACAGCAGAAGCUGUUACUAACUAAAAUCACUAUAUUGGGAAAGAAAAUAUACUCCAUAUAUAUUAUAAAUCAAUUACACAAUUUGGUUGAUUUCCUCUAACAAAAAAACCCCACAAAACCCAAACCCAAAAAAAACCCAAUGCAGUGAUUUAAACAGAUCCAUACAUUAGGUAUUUCAGGGUAUCUCUGCCACUCCAGACACUACUUUGGUUGAGGUACAAACCUAUAAACUUGCUGAACACUGGAAUGUGCUCAGAAUAUUGUUUUCCUCCCCGUUGUUAUUGCAAAGGCUUGCACGAGGUUGUAAAUAGUGCCUCUUUCAUAGAGAUGACUCCACACUAGCAUCAAAAAGUUUAAAAUGUCUCACAGGAACUGGGAAUUGUAACUAGAAAUCAGAAAUAACCUCUGCAAUUGGCAGUGUCAAUUGCAAAAUGAAAGAAAAUGGAAGUAAAAUGUAAGCAGAAAAGAGCUAUUCAAAGACAAAGGCAUAAAGACUAUUGCUUUCAUUUAAAUUUUAGUGAUUUUUGAAGGAAGAAGAUAAAAUAUAAUACCUUUAUCUCUAUAAUAUAUAUACUCAUAAGCAAGCAAGAAAACAACUACGAACUUUAAACAAUAUUGUAGGGUCAAAAUUUCAAAUCAAUUUUGUCAUAUAUCAAAGACAUUUUAAUGUUUUUAAUUAUGUUGUCUAAGGAAAAUGUAGCAGAGAAAACUCUUUUUUUUAAACCCUAAAAAAGUGCAGUUGGAUUUUAAUUGAGACAGGCAAAGAAGGCCAAGCAACAAGAAUACAAGUGAUGGAAUUAGAGAGCAAAGAGGAAAACAAUAACCAAAUUAGGAAGAAAACAAAAGCAGAGAAAGUAGAACAGGAGGAAAGAGUGAAACAAACUGCUUAACUCUUACUGCAGUGCUCUGAGUGUUUUUCUGUUUCACUUCUCUUUCACACUCACCACGUCCUCCCCAAGGACCUCAGUGUUUCACAACUGUAGAGAUGCAUCAUGAAAACGCAUCUGCAUCACAGCAUAUCCUACAUUUUUUCAACCUUCCUUUUUCUCGACUUUCUUCACACCUCCACCAUUGACUACAAUCCAUUAAAAUUAUCUAGUUUGAAUUCCUGAACCAUCAGUCUGUCUCCAACAAGGUCAUCACUGCAGAUUCCCACCCAGCAGUUUCCUGCCCCUCUACAGCCACACCUUCUACUUCCCUCCAGGCUGCCGCUGCUCUUGUUGACAGAGUUCAUAGGUGGUAAAAUGUAUUCAUAUGGCUGAAUUGGAGAAAAUGCUUCUUUCAGGGCAGUGGAAGACCUAAUUACAAAAUACUCCUUAGCCUUCAUUCAGCCACCAAUUAAUUCCUCCUGGGCCCCAACACCCUUUUGUCCUGUAGGCUGAAGGCACAAUAGCUCCUGUUGCUUCUUUGCCCUUUACAAGCCACAGUAUUCCAGCAAAAUAUUUUAGAAUUCCAGCAAAGUAUUUCAGAAAAAUAUCUAUAUUAAUUAAAUGACUCCAAAAUUUUGUUUUCAUAAUAAUGUUAUUUUCCUCUGACUUUGAGAAAGAAAACAAAAAAAUAAACCCAUUUGCUUUGCAUUUCAUCUAAUGUCAAUGAAACAGUUUUUAUUUCCAAAGUGAAGAAGAGCUCUGAAAAAAACCUGAAAAAAGUCUUUGGUUUUAUUUAAUUUUUUUAAUAUGAAAUCAGCUGGUUUUGCCUACAAGCCCAAGGGAGUUUACGGUCUUGGCCCCCCACCAAUGCCUGGCCUGAGGGGCAGAAAAAUACACCGCAAAUUGUCUAAAGUACAAAAGUCCCGCUCAGUCGGUAUGAACAAAAGAUAGUUAAGCCGAAAUUGGGUGGUAAAGAAGGGAACUACUAAGCAGACUGUAGGAUGGGAAAUACCAUUAAAUGUAGGUUAAGAGAGCAUCUGCUGCUGGCUGAAGAGAAAUACAGAAACACAUGGCUCGGGCUCCCGUGUGAAAGCCCAGCCAGACCAAUUCUUUUGAACACCAGGGAACAAAGAAAGGUAGAGAGGUCACUCAGUCCUGAAAGAGAUGCAGCAAAAUAAACAUAAAUUUUUUACAAUGAGGCUGGUGAGACACUGGAACACGUUGCCCAAAUAAGUCAUGGAUGCCCCAUUAUUGGAAGUGUUCAAAGUCAGGCUGGACAGGGCUUUGAGCAACCUGGUUUAGUGAAAGAUGUGCCUGCCAUGGCAGCAGGCUUGAACUAGAUGAUCUUUAGAGAUCACUUCAAACCCAAACCAUUCUACGACUGUCUUCUACAGUUUUCCUCCCAAUGUAAAGAAAAAAAUGGUUAAUGAGGACUAGCUGAUGUUUACCCUGUAUCCAUUCCAGCUCAAAUAAAAGUAUAAUGGUUCUUUAAAGAAAACACAGUCAGUAGCAUGGCAAAUCACGGUAUUUGAAGACUUACGCAUGGCUCUCAAAUGGCAAUAGGAACAGUAUAUCUGAUUAUCUGACAUUCAAAGUCAUGUGCCCUGAGAGAAGCUCAGACAGUGAAAAGACAGCCAGGAAACAUCAGUGUUGAGCAGAGCUAGCAGGCAGUAAAACAGUAUUAUCUAUAAAAGUCAGCGAAGAUUAAAGCUAGAAAGGUCUCCAGGUACCCACGCAAGGACUAUGAAAAGAUUGCGUGGCAAACAAGUAGAUCCUCUGUGAUCUCUCUGGGUCUUCCUUCCUUAGUCCUAAGAAACACCCUGACUAGAGCAGUGCCUAGAGGGGUGUGCGCAUGAUACUGACUCUUCCUUCAGUUUCAGCAAAUGCAACUGCUGGAAGACAAGUUGCAUUCCUGCCAUUACAACUUGUCACUUAAGCCCCUUUUCUUCCCUAACAUGUUUUUCUUUCUGCUUCUCUUCCUUUGCAGAAAGUUUAUGUCUUAGCUGGCUUGAUCACUCUUUUUGGCAGCACUGGUGCAAGUCUAAAACAGGAAGGCAGAAUAAAGCAAUGGCUUUGAACAGCUCAAUGCUCAUAAAAGCCAAAUCUUGGAGUCACCAUGUGCUAUGCUUGGUCUCCUCUAGCAACAAUGCUGUAAAUUAAUGUCAGGAGCAGAAACAGAAGGUGCAUUUUCUAACUUCUUUUUUUUUUUGCCCCCUUUUGUGUGUGCUUCUCUUAAUUUAUCAUUGAGGAGGCAGAUUCAGGCUUUUACCACAACAGUAGUAACAGCAGCUCUGGCUCAUCAUCUUAACUUUGUGUUCAUCCAAAAAGAACUCUUAUUACUGUCUUUAAUACUACCUAAAAGGUUGCCAAAUACAACAGUUUUCCUUAUCAUAAGUUACAAAACAAAACAAGCAGCCACUACUUCAGCUAUGGAGAAAGGAAGUAAGAAAUGUGGUUAAAAUCUCCCUCAACCACUUUCCCUGCUUUUUCUUUUCUUUCUGGCUAUUAAAGGUUUAAACUUCUGGGGUUUAGUUUGGGUUUUUUUUAGAUGUGGGUGUUUACUGAAGGACAUUUGGAUGUCUCUGAAUGGCCAGACUUUUAAGAAUUGUACAGUGGUUAAAGCUUCUAAUUAAUACAGGAUGCCACUAUUAUCCCUCCAGC